GGGUUGUGAGGUUAAGCGACUAAGCGUACACGGUGGAUGCCCUGGCAGUCAGAGGCGAUGAAGGACGUGCUAAUCUGCGAUAAGCGUCGGUAAGGUGAUAUGAACCGUUAUAACCGGCGAUUUCCGAAUGGGGAAACCCAGUGUGAUUCGUCACACUAUCAUUAACUGAAUCCAUAGGUUAAUGAGGCGAACCGGGGGAACUGAAACAUCUAAGUACCCCGAGGAAAAGAAAUCAACCGAGAUUCCCCCAGUAGCGGCGAGCGAACGGGGAGCAGCCCAGAGUCUGAAUCAGUGUGUGUGUUAGUGGAAGCGUCUGGAAAGGCGUGCGAUACAGGGUGACAGCCCCGUACACAAAAAUGCACAUAUUGUGAGCUCGAUGAGUAGGGCGGGACACGUGGUAUCCUGUCUGAAUAUGGGGGGACCAUCCUCCAAGGCUAAAUACUCCUGACUGACCGAUAGUGAACCAGUACCGUGAGGGAAAGGCGAAAAGAACCCCGGCGAGGGGAGUGAAAAAGAACCUGAAACCGUGUACGUACAAGCAGUGGGAGCACGCUUAGGCGUGUGACUGCGUACCUUUUGUAUAAUGGGUCAGCGACUUAUAUUCUGUAGCAAGGUUAACCGAAUAGGGGAGCCGAAGGGAAACCGAGUCUUAACUGGGCGUUAAGUUGCAGGGUAUAGACCCGAAACCCGGUGAUCUAGCCAUGGGCAGGUUGAAGGUUGGGUAACACUAACUGGAGGACCGAACCGACUAAUGUUGAAAAAUUAGCGGAUGACUUGUGGCUGGGGGUGAAAGGCCAAUCAAACCGGGAGAUAGCUGGUUCUCCCCGAAAGCUAUUUAGGUAGCGCCUCGUGAAUUCAUCUCCGGGGGUAGAGCACUGUUUCGGCAAGGGGGUCAUCCCGACUUACCAACCCGAUGCAAACUGCGAAUACCGGAGAAUGUUAUCACGGGAGACACACGGCGGGUGCUAACGUCCGUCGUGAAGAGGGAAACAACCCAGACCGCCAGCUAAGGUCCCAAAGUCAUGGUUAAGUGGGAAACGAUGUGGGAAGGCCCAGACAGCCAGGAUGUUGGCUUAGAAGCAGCCAUCAUUUAAAGAAAGCGUAAUAGCUCACUGGUCGAGUCGGCCUGCGCGGAAGAUGUAACGGGGCUAAACCAUGCACCGAAGCUGCGGCAGCGACACUAUGUGUUGUUGGGUAGGGGAGCGUUCUGUAAGCCUGUGAAGGUGUACUGUGAGGUAUGCUGGAGGUAUCAGAAGUGCGAAUGCUGACAUAAGUAACGAUAAAGCGGGUGAAAAGCCCGCUCGCCGGAAGACCAAGGGUUCCUGUCCAACGUUAAUCGGGGCAGGGUGAGUCGACCCCUAAGGCGAGGCCGAAAGGCGUAGUCGAUGGGAAACAGGUUAAUAUUCCUGUACUUGGUGUUACUGCGAAGGGGGGACGGAGAAGGCUAU
rnacentral:rRNA from 1 species